GUAGGUGAACCUGCGGAAGGAUCAUUAACACUUUUUCGAAAGUUUUAUAAGCGAGAAAAUGCGUGGAAUUUUAUUUUGGGCUUAUUCAUGUGUGCCGCAAGGCCACAUGGAUGAUCCAGAAUUUUUAACACCCCAAACAUAAACAAACAUAAACUAAAAACAAUAAAAAUAUUGUAGAGGAGUUUCACGCUUCACUACAAACUUUUUACGAAAUGAUAAGAACAACUCUUAACAACGGAUAUCUUGGUUCUC
rnacentral:misc_RNA from 1 species